rnacentral:rRNA from 1 species
UACGUAGGGUGCAAGCGUUAAUCGGAAUUACUGGGCGUAAAGCGUGCGCAGGCGGCUUUGCAAGACAGAUGUGAAAUCCCCGGGCUUAACCUGGGAACUGCAUUUGUGACUGCAUGGCUGGAGUGCGGCAGAGGGGGAUGGAAUUCCGCGUGUAGCAGUGAAAUGCGUAGAUAUGCGGAGGAACACCGAUGGCGAAGGCAAUCCCUUGGGCCUGCACUGGACGCUCAUGCACGAAAGCGUGGGGAGCAAACAGG